AAUUAGCAUGGACGGCGCCUUGGCACUAUAGGUGGUCGCACACCAAGGACGCAUCAUUUCUGGAACGACUACCGAAAAUCGUUGAAAUUCAAUCUCACAUUUCUGAAUUUCGUAUGCCAAGAACAUUCCGUCCUAUCGAAACGUGUCAAUCAACUUGGAGCCCCAGUAUAAACCAACAGUGCCGAGGAAAUGCUAUCUAUCUUUGCGAACGACGUGGGAUUCAAAUGGCCAAAUAUCAAGAUAAACUUACCCGAGGUUUUCCUUGUUGCCCAAACAAUUUCCAGUUGACAAAUUCACACGCGGUCUGAUAUAAUUACAGCACGGCCAUCACGACAGCAAAGGAUGAACGCACGCACAGCUGUGUCGUCGUGGAUGUUCCCCCAACACACAACGUCCUUGUUUUGUUUUUUUUUUUUUGCUUCGUUGUUGUUGUCAACACACUGGCACACUCACUAACAUCAACUUAUUGUUACCGG